AGGAAGGAGUUGAGUCUUGGCACUGUACGAGGCCAGGAGAGGCCAUUGGUGAAGGUUCAGCUUCAGUGUCAGUUGAUCAUCCAGGACCGAAAGGGACAUGGCAAAGAAUUUGAGACUUGGCACCAUGAAGAAAGUCUAUGAGAGGUGACUAGUUAAAGUUCAGCCCAUUUGCACCAGAAGACAUCAUCAUUUUGAAGAUGCAAGUUCCAUGGGGGUAACCACCAAGAACAUCAGAAGCAGUGGAGUAGAGUCAGCCUAGAAGAUAAGCUUUGUGUGCUACAGAGGAAGAGCUAGAGAAAUGACACAAAAUUCUCCAGUCUUCUUUGGAGAGACCCAGAAGAUUCUGUGUGGAGCCCAGACUUCGGACCCUGAGUUAAUUACACUGAUGAAGCCUAGCUUUGUUUGGCUCGGAUUAUGACUGUGGCCUGGUUCUUCCUUCUUGAAGAAGGUUCCAGUCCUGCUUGAGUCCUGCCCUGACAGCCUCCUGAUCCUGAUCUAUUCUGGAAGUGUAAGCAGGUAAAUGAACACUUUCCUCCACAACUUGCUUUUUAGACAUGGUAUUUAGUUCCAGUUUGUGGACCUUGGUCUGUAAUACCACAGUGUUGACUCAUCUCAAGCAUACAGUUCUAUGGGAAUGACCUCUGGACUGCAGUUCUACAAUGUUGACAUUUCCUCUAUAGUUUCACAGUGAUGACUUUGGGUCUGCAUUUUUGACCUCGGGUCUAUAACAGCACAGUAUUCACCAUGGACUAACAUGGACAGCCUUUGAACAUCUUCAUGACAAUGGUGCUAUAUGCAUGAAAAUGUCUGAAAGAAAAUGUCCUUUCUACAAUUUGUUCUUCUAGCAGCUUUGCCAACUUUAUGCUUACUCUUUGAAUUUCAUUCUUCCUUCUUCCAUGUCUAAUUAUAGUUUUUAUUUAGAAAAACACAGCCUCUGAUUAUGUUCUACACUGACACUUAGAGAAGUUUGGUCCAGUUCAUCAUCUCUCAGUUAUCUCUGCAAUUCCUCCUUCUAGGAUCCUUAUAGUCACCCCAUACAACAACAUUUGCUCAGUCAUCUUUAUUUUCUGUUUUUUUUUUUUUAAUCAGGCAGAGUCUAAUUUCCUGAAGCUUCUCAUUUGAUUUCCCAGUACUUAAUACAUACUCACUUCAAACAACUGUAUAUAUGGUUGUUAAUUCUAACCUCAUCAUCAUGGCAAACUAAGGUUAUGCUCUGGCUCACUACUUACAUUAAUGCCUCCAUUUUCCUUUUCCGAACUUUGUCUCAGUACAUCUAAAACCAUCAAACAGGCAAUAUAUUGUAAUGUCAGUGAUUAAGGAGAGAGUUCAUUCUGCAAUGAGAGGACUGCAAAUCUACAUUAUCUCCAUUGAAUCUAUUCAACUUUAUUUCUCAGUAUCUGUAUCUGUUAUAAGGAUGCAAUAAAACCUAAUAUACAGGACUGUUGUGAAAAUUAAGUAUAAUAGUUCAUGUAAAAUACAUAAUAAACACUAUUUG
ensembl:antisense uncharacterized LOC110325260